rnacentral:piRNA from 1 species
GUUAUCUAACUGAACAUACUGUACAUGG